UACGUAGGGGGCAAGCGUUGUCCGGAAUCAUUGGGCGUAAAGAGCGCGUAGGCGGCCCGAUAAGUCCGCUGUGAAAGUCAAGGGCUCAACCCUUGAAUGCCGGUGGAUACUGUCGGACUAGAGUCCGGAAGAGGCAAGUGGAAUUCCCGGUGUAGCGGUGAAAUGCGCAGAUAUCAGGAGGAACACCGAUGGCGAAGGCAGCUCGCUGGGACGGUACUGACGCUGAGGCGCGAAAGCGUGGGGAGCGAACAGG
rnacentral:rRNA from 1 species